CCGCGGCCUAUCAGCUUGUUGGUGAGGUAACGGCUCACCAAGGCGACGACGGGUAGCCGGCCUGAGAGGGCGACCGGCCACACUGGGACUGAGACACGGCCCAGACUCCUACGGGAGGCAGCAGUGGGGAAUAUUGCACAAUGGGCGAAAGCCUGAUGCAGCGACGCCGCGUGAGGGAUGACGGCCUUCGGGUUGUAAACCUCUUUCAGCAGGGAAGAAGCGAAAGUGACGGUACCUGCAGAAGAAGCGCCGGCUAACUACGUGCCAGCAGCCGC
rnacentral:rRNA from 1 species